rnacentral:rRNA from 1 species
AAAGGAAUAGACGGGACCCCGCACAAGCAGUGGAGCGUGUGGUUUAAUUCGAAGCAACGCGUAGAACCUUACCAGGGCUUGACAUUACGGUGAAGGGCCUAGAAAUAGGCAGAUAUCGUAGAGAUACGAACACCGUAACAGGUGUUGCAUGGUUGUCGUCAGCUCGUGUCGUGAGAUGUUGGGUUAAGUCCCGCAACGAGCGCAACCCCUAUUUGGUGUUGCUACCGGGUGAUGCCGGGCACUCACCGAAGACCGCCGGAGACGAUUCGGAGGAAGGUGGGGAUGACGUCAAAUCAUCAUGGCCCUUAUGCCCUGGGCCACACACGCGCUACAAUGGCCGGUACAACGGGCAGCGAAAGAGCGAUCUUAAGCGAAUCCCUUAAAGCCGGUCUCAGUUGGGAUUGGAGGCUGAAACUCGCCUCCAUGAACCCGGAAUUGCUAGUAAUCGCGGAUCAGCUACGCCGCGGUGAAUACGUUCCCGGGGUUUGUACACACCGCCCGU